GCAGGGUGCAAGGAACUAACAAAGAAUGAUGAAGCACCCCGGAAGGGACAAUGGCCUGAGAGGGGAAGGGGAGGGAGCUGGAGUCUCAGAGAAGGGCCAGCUGGACAGGAGCUGUCUGGAACCAAGCAUCGUAGUGAGGCAGGGAAAGUUGGGCUAAUACAUUCCAGACCUGUCCCCUUUCUGAUCUCGUGCUCUCCACUGGAUGGAAGCCAGAGUGAUGCAGUUAGAGCCCAGAAGAAGGCAGACAAGGUGGGGAGUAGAUGUGGAGGUUGAAAUGAGAAUAACCAGCACAGAGGUUUGGUUGGAUGCAGUUGAAAGGAUUCAGCCCAUGUUUCUAAUGGCUGCGUAUCAGUGAACAGGUGGUUCAACAACAGGAAAAGUAGCCACAGAUUAAGGCCAGGAAAUGGAGGAAAAAUGAGCAACAGUAACCAGCUAGCAUUUUUGCAGGUGAACACCUUUGUUGUCUCAGCAAUUCCAGUAGUUUAAAAUCAGAGAAUUUUCUUUUUAUGUAUUUAUUGAGAUGGGGUCUUGCUCUGUUGCCUAGGCUGGAGGGCAGUGGCACGAUCACGACUCACUGCAACCUUGACCUCCCGGACCCAAGCAGUCCCCCUACCUCAGCCUCCCAAGUAGCUGGGACUACAGGCACACAUCACCAUGACUUUUUGUAUUUUUUGUAGAGAUGGGGUUUCACCAUGUUGUCCAGGCUGGUCUUGAAUUCCUGGGCUCAAGCAAUCCUCCUGCCUCAGACUCCCAAAGUGUUGGGAUCACAGCUACUCUUCCUGGCCAAAGAAUUUUCUUUUCUUCUUCUUUUUUUUUUAAUUGAUUUUUACUUAACCUAAUUUAUAGGCUUACAGGGAAUUUUCUUUACACGACUGUAGAAUAUGGGCUUUGUAACUGGGCAGACUUUACUUUUUUGUUACAAGCCACUUAAUAGAUUUAUGAGUUAUCUAGCCUCUUUGAUUUGGCAAAUAGAAACCUCUUAGAGUCAUGGAAGACACAUGCAAAUCACGCUAAUAUAUGUAAAGCAUCUGACUUGACUUACAAGUGCAAUAAAUAAUGGUGAUUCCUUUUUGUACUGUUAUAAUUCCACACUGGCUUUUAAGUAAAAAUGGUUAUUAUAUGUGAAUACACCUUCCUUACUGCAAAGGCUAAACAAGUAUUAUUAAAAGGAAUAGUUUUAUAGGUCACUGUUUUUAAAUCAUAG
rnacentral:lncRNA from 1 species